rnacentral:rRNA from 1 species
UACGUAGGGUGCGAGCGUUGUCCGGAAUCACUGGGCGUAAAGGGCGCGUAGGCGGCACUGUUAGUCAGGCGUGAAAGUCCUGGGCUCAACCUGGGAACUGCGCUUGAUACGGCAGAGCUAGAGGAUGGAAGAGGCUCGCGGAAUUCCCAGUGUAGAGGUGAAAUUCGUAGAUAUUGGGAAGAACACCGGUGGCGAAGGCGGCGAGCUGGUCCAUUACUGACGCUGAGGCGCGACAGCGUGGGGAGCAAACAGG